GUACCUAAAGUAAAUAGCAAAAAUUAUGGGUUUAAUGUGGGAUAAGUGAAAAUUAAACUUAUAAUAUGAUUAAUUUGAGUAAGUGGACCACUAUAGAAUAAAGUAAAAACAAAAUGGGUAGGUGUACACUUAUUACACAAUCUGCAAAUUCAUUUUCUCCAAAUCCUUCACCCAUGGCCGAAUGAAUUUCUCCAAAAAGCUCCCAUGGCCGCCCACCUUCAAACCUUCACAAUCCUAUGAUCAAGCCUUCUUUUCCCACACCUAUCUUCAUUAAAAUUUGUCGCCACAUCACAAGGAAGAAUUAGAUACCAACAUUAAGAAGUUUUAGUGAAGAUUU
rnacentral:misc_RNA from 1 species